AGCGAACGCUGGCGGCAGGCCUAACACAUGCAAGUCGAACGAACUCUUCGGAGUUAGUGGCGGACGGGUGAGUAACACGUGGGAACGUGCCUUUUGGUUCGGAAUAACUCAGGGAAACUUGUGCUAAUACCGAAUGUGCCCUUCGGGGGAAAGAUUUAUCGCCAUUAGAGCGGCCCGCGUCUGAUUAGCUAGUUGGUGAGGUAACGGCUCACCAAGGCGACGAUCAGUAGCUGGUCUGAGAGGAUGACCAGCCACACUGGGACUGAGACACGGCCCAGACCCCCACGGGGGGCAGGAGGGGGGAAUCUGGCGCAAGGGGCGAAAGCCUGACGCACCCAGGCCGGGUGAAUGAGGAAGGUCUUAGGAUUUAAAAAUUCUUUCCCCGGGGACGAUAAUGACGGUACCCGGAAAAGAAGCCCCGGCUAACUUCGU
rnacentral:rRNA from 1 species